GACGAACGCUGGCGGCGUGCUUAACACAUGCAAGUCGAACGAUGAAGCCCUUUCGGGGGGUGGAUUAGUGGCGAACGGGUGAGUAACACGUGGGUAACCUGCCCUGUACCCUGGGAUAAGCCUUGGAAACGAGGUCUAAUACCGGAUAUGACCUGCUCUCGCAUGGGGGUGGGUGGAAAGUUUUGGCGGCGCAGGAUGGACCCGCGGCCUAUCAGCUUGUUGGUGGGGUGAUGGCCUACCAAGGCGACGACGGGUAGCCGGCCUGAGAGGGCGACCGGCCACACUGGGACUGAGACACGGCCCAGACUCCUACGGGAGGCAGCAGUGGGGAAUAUUGCACAAUGGGCGAAAAGCCUGAUGCAGCGACGCCGCGUGAGGGAUGACGGCCUCGGUU
rnacentral:rRNA from 1 species